rnacentral:rRNA from 1 species
UACGUAGGGAGCAAGCGUUGUCCGGAAUCAUUGGGCGUAAAGCGCGCGUAGGUGGCCUCAUAAGUCCGCUGUGAAAGUCAAAGGCUCAACCUUUGAAAGCCGGUGGAUACUGUGGGGCUAGAGUACGGAAGAGGCGAGUGGAAUUCCUGGUGUAGCGGUGGAAUGCGCAGAUAUCAGGAGGAACACCAAUAGCGAAGGCAGCUCGCUGGGACGUUACUGACACUGAGGCGCGACAGCGUGGGGAGCAAACAGG